UACGUAGGGUGCAAGCGUUGUCCGGAAUUAUUGGGCGUAAAGAGCUCGUAGGCGGUCUGUUGCGUCGGCUGUGAAACCCGGGCUCAACCCGGGCCUGCAGCCGAUACGGGCAGACUAGAGUUCGGCAGGGGAGACUGGAAUUCCUGGUGUAGCGGUGAAAUGCGCAGAUAUCAGGAGGAACACCGGUGGCGAAGGCGGGUCUCUGGGCCGAUGACUGACGCUCAUGCACGAAAGCGUGGGAGCAA
rnacentral:rRNA from 1 species